GAGUAAGGCAGCCGCUGGAGCAGUUUGUUUAAAGCUGAUGUCAGAGGAAAGUCCGGACUUYAUAAGAAAAGAUGCUGGAGAAAUUCCAGGGGCCGAGAGGCUACGGAAAGUGCAACAGAAAACACUCCGCUAUAAAUUGCAAAAUUUAUAGACAGGCUGAAAAAUCCUACUUUAAGAGUAGGAGCUGCUGGGGAGACCCGGUAGACCUGUAAACCCCAUCUGAAGCAAGAGAAAAAGUCUUUUGUCUCUGCAAAGAACCUCUCUAAGGGAAGGUUCAGACUUUUUCAUAAUCGCUUGAGAAGUAUAGUAAUGUGCUUCCUAGAUGAAUGGCUGCCCGCAGGCAAGAAUUUUUAUUCGCGCUUGUUGACAGAAYCCGGCUUACUCGCUC
rnacentral:RNase_P_RNA from 11 species